UACGAAGGGGGCUAGCGUUGCUCGGAAUUACUGGGCGUAAAGCGCACGUAGGCGGAUUGUUAAGUCGGGGGUGAAAUCCUGGAGCUCAACUCCAGAACUGCCUUCGAAACUGGCGAUCUUGAGUCCGGGAGAGGUGAGUGGAACUGCGAGUGUAGAGGUGAAAUUCGUAGAUAUUCGCAAGAACACCAGUGGCGAAGGCGGCUCACUGGCCCGGUACUGACGCUGAGGCGCGAAAGCUAGGGGAGCAAACGG
rnacentral:rRNA from 1 species